CCCCGCCGGGCACGGAGGCAGCGCGACCCCGUGCCGCAGCCCCCCGCACCCCACGCUCCCCGUGCCCGGUGCCCGAGCGCUGCCGGUCCCGGGAGACCCCCGCCCUGGGACCCCGCAUCCCGGGACCAGCUGGAAAACCCGCACCUGGACCCCCAGCCCGGCCCCCCCAGCCCCAGCCGCACCCCCCGAGCAUCUCCGGUGCCUCCGGUGCCCCUGCCCGCGGCUGCCUCCGCUCGCCCGGCCCCGAGCGCGGCCGCUGCCCCUCGCGGGGUGCCCCGGGGACACCCCAGGGCGCUGGCAGCGCGCCCCGGUGCUGAGGUUUGGCUUUGGCCUCGGGCAGCGGGGGUGAGGCAGGUGCCCGCGGCCAAAGUGCGCGGGGUUAGGCUGCAGCAGGUGAGGUGAGAGCACGCAGAACUGGAAACACAUCCAGCAGGAGGAGGGAUGGACGGACGGACGGACGGAUGGAUGGACGGACAGAUGAAGGGAUGGAGGGAUGGAGGGAUGGAUGGGUGGGUGGGGAGAUCCUCAUGGAAAAGAGGGAGCUCCUCAUGCACACACAGAGAGCCCCGGAGGUGCAGAUGUAGCAGCUCUGCCAUCAUGCCGGGGGCAUGCUGGGGACGUGGCCCUGCUCCCCCUGGGGACAUGCUGGGGACCUGGCCCUGCUCCCCCUGAGGACACGGGUGCUGCCUGCACCAAGCCCCGAGGGGUCCCCCCUGUGCUGCUGCGCCUGCGGCUGAGCAGGGCUGGGGCUGUCCCCCCGUGCCGUCCCCACGAGCCCGAUGUGUCCCCACGGGAGCCACCCCUGGGUCACCACCGGCCAGGGCUGGCCGUGGGGUGGGGGACAGGGAUCCCCCAUGCAGGGUGGCCCCGUGGGGUGGCCGGCCAUGGGCAGCAAGCCGGGAUGUGGCCACAAGCCCUGCGUGGAGGUCUGUCCCUUUGGGACGGGGGAAUCCCUGUCCAGCCUGGGCGGUGGCACCCCAAGCAGUGCCGUGCCCCCCCGGCUGCCGCCUUCCCUUUCCUGGCAGUUUCGGUCGCUGGGGCUGCCACGCGCAGGGCUCCGGGAGGAAGCGGCUGUGGGCUCGGCCAGCUACGGGAUGGCCACCGAGGGGCCGGACCUGUACGAGAACCUGCAGAUCCGCUACCCGCACGUGCUGGAUUUCGGGUCCCGGCCGUCCCCGUCCCGCCGGGUGCUGGGCACUCUGCUGGCCGUGGGCUUGGCGGCCCUCCUGGCCCUGGGGGCCGCCCUGACGGCCGUCGCCACCCUGCGCGCACGGGACCAGGCGGAGCUGCGGGUGGCACGGGCAGAGCUGGAGGCGCUGGGGCCGCUGCUGCCGCCCGGCCCCGAUGGUUCACGGAGCCCCGGUGACAGCCCCGACGUGGCACAGAGGCGCAGGGACUUUUUGGGGCGGUGGCUGCAGGGGCUGGGCCUGGGCUGGAGGUACCACAAGGGGAAGAUCUACUACUUCUCGGGGGACCAGAAGCCCUGGCGCGAGGCGAAGGAGUUCUGCCUCUCCAAGCAGGCGCAGCUCACCUCCGUCACCAGCCGGGACGAGCAGGUGGGUGCGCGGGGCUCCGUGCCCUUCACCGCCUGCGUGCCCUGCAGCCAGCUGCCAGCUGCACCCCCGGGCACCCCGUGCCCGUGCCUUCCUGCCCCGUGUGCCCCCCCACCCCAUGCACCUCCCUGCCCCGUGCACCCUCCUGCUUGUGCCUUCCUGCCCCAUGUAG
rnacentral:lncRNA from 1 species